CACACCUCCCCUGGCUAUGGCCCACACAGUCAACAUAAAAAACCAUAUUAAAACACAAUGUGUUUAAUUUAUCUCUAUUAAUUGAACUUUAAUAAUGCACAGUAACCUUCUGCAGGUUCUAUCUGGUUAUAAACAGAGCAGGAGAUAAUAAAUCCUGGAACUAAACAGAUUGUGCAAUAAAUCAAGUUUAAACAUUACAUCUCUCUUUGCAGGAAGUGCUUAGGAAGACUGUGCAAGUCACAUGCAGGGGUGUGUGG